CGGGAAGACGGACCUCGGCCUGAGAGAGGGGGUGAGGGUUGGCGGGUGGCGCAUGCGCCAGGAGAGGGAACCCGGAAGUGGGAGCGGAGCCGCCUUGUCCCGGGAGGUUCCCCCAUCUGAAAUCCAGCCCAGGCAUCCCCCACUCAACCCCCCCCCCCGCCGCCGUCCCCCCGGGCUCGUGACCGAGAGCGGGUCUGCGGGACCGGACUCCUGGGUUCCGGGGCCGGACCCCCGCCCCGUGUGUGACCUUGAGCUGGUGCUAGGGCCAGUUCGCUCCCGAGGGUGCCCGACUCUGUCUCAUCGAUCCUCUGAACCAUUUCCCGCAAGACCCAGGGGCUUUGUCUGCCUCGGGUCGCUCGUCCCCCAGCUCCAGCCCAGGCAGCCCCCCGCCCAAAACACGCCCCACUGCUUAGCAAGGCUUUAAUGACCCCGAGGUGUGGCUGGGAACUCGUUGUUCCGCACGGUUUGGACCUACAGGGUCCCUUUCUUUCUCCGUCCCCCUGUGUGUUUUGUUGCUCUCUGACGGGCAUUGGACCAUCUGUCAUCCUCAAAACUUUCCCCACUCCAUACCCCAAAUUCUGCCAAAAGGCAUCGAAACCAUCCCGAGAUCACUGGUUUAAAUGUAAUUUGCAUUUCUUUUUAAUCUGCCAGAGGGGUUAUCCUCUCCACCAUUUGUACUUUGCAAGUACAGAAUCAGAUUUCAUUUGCCACCCAAAUGUAUGUGAUGUAAGAGUAAACCUGUACAAACCUAAGACCACAACAGAUAUUUCUGAGCAAUAACUGUUAAUUUUCAAUUGCACUGGAACAGAAUUUUUUGUUAACAAAUAAAUAUGAAUGUAGUAUUUGCUAUUGAAAGUGCAGCACUGUACAAAUGAUUUGUGGUGUCUAUAGUUAUGAUUUUGUCUUCUGCAUAUUGCAUCCUUAAGAUUAAAGAUUACUUGCUUGUCUAUUGGGAGCAGGGCUGAGGAGAUUCAAGAUAGCAUAUCUUACAAGAAUACAAGCCGUAUACUCAAGUGAAAGGUCUGGAUCUUACAAAGGUCUCUGAGGCAAGCGCAAAGAAUGCCCUGGAGUGGUGAGGAAACUGAGGCAGGGAAAUUCAGUGUUAUGGCAGUAACGUCAGCUGAGAGAAACCCUUUCUUGCCAUUUGUGGUUCCCUACGCCUGAAGCAAGAUCAAAAGUAAUAUUUCACAAGGGGUACCUGCAGCCUGGCUAAUUUCCUAAGCAGCACCAGUUACUUUUAUAGCAGGUUCAAGCCUGGAAAAGUAGAGGUUGCAGCUGAAAAUUGAGAUCAUAUAGAGCAGCUGUUUUAUAUUAGCAUGAUGUUGCUACAAAACAAGUUUAAAGUUGUUUAAAAUCCUACCCACAGCAAUAUUUCUCCUGCUGCAUCCAUGUCGAUGGUUUCACUUUAUGCUGGGCGAUCAAGUGGAAACACCUACAUAUUGAUUGCUUGAUUUUUAGAACUAUUUAUCAGAGAAA